rnacentral:rRNA from 1 species
CCUACGGGUGGCAGCAGUGGGGAAUAUUGGGCAAUGGAGGAAACUCUGACCCAGCAACGCCGCGUGAAUGAUGAAGGUCUUCGGAUUGUAAAGUUCUUUUCUAAGGGAAGAAGAAAGUGACGGUACCUUAGGAAUAAGCCUCGGCUAACUACGUGCCAGCAGCCGCGGUAAUACGUAGGAGGCGGGCGUUAUCCGGAAUGACUGGGCGUAAAGGGUGCGUAGGUGGUUUGGCAAGUUAGUAGUGUAACUCCAAGGCUCAACCUUGGAACUACUGCGAAAACUGGUGGACUUGAGUGCAGGAAGGGCAAGCGGAAUUCCUAGUGUAGCGGUGGAAUGCGUAGAUAUUACGAGGAACCCCGAUGGCGAAGGCAGGUUGCUAGAGUGGAACUGACGCUGAGGCACGAAAGCGUGGGUAGCGAACAGGAUUAGAUACCCGGGUAGUC